rnacentral:misc_RNA from 1 species
UUUCUCUUUCUCUUGGCUCACACCAAAUCCCUCCUCAGUCCUCUCUCCACCCAAACCCCAUUCUCAGGUCACACCUCACUCGCCGGUCGGUAUGGCUUUAGCGCACCUCACUUCCUCUUCCAGAUCUAAUCUCCUAAAACCCCUCGCCACCGUCUUAUCCUACACUGAUUCUUUCCGCCGUCCGAUCUCCACCUCCACCGACCCCCUUACUAUCGAGACUUCCGUUCCGUUCACUUCUCACAAAUGCGAGCCUCCUUCCCGCUCCGUCGAGACCACUCCUCAAGAGCUUAUUUCUUUCUUCCGCGACAUGGCUAAGAUGCGCCGGAUGGAGAUCGCUGCCGAUUCUCUUUACAAGGCCAAGCUUAUCCGUGGGUUCUGCCACCUCUACGAUGGCCAGGAAGCGGUCGCUGUA